AUUGAACGCUGGCGGCAGGCCUAACACAUGCAAGUCGAACGAGUGGCGGACGGGUGAGUAAUGUCUGGGAAACUGCCCGAUGGAGGGGGAUAACUACUGGAAACGGUAGCUAAUACCGCAUACCAUCGGAUGUGCCCAGAUGGGAUUAGCUAGUAGGUGGGGUAACGGCUCACCUAGGCGACGAUCCCUAGCUGGUCUGAGAGGAUGACCAGCCAAACUGGAACUGAGACACGGUCCAGACGCCUACGGGAGGCAGCAGUGGGGAAGUUUGCACAAUGGGUGAAAUCCUGAUGCAGCCAUGCGUCGUGUAUGAAGAAGGCCUUCGGGUUGUAAAGUACUUUCAGCGAGGAGGCGUUACUCGCAGAAGAAGCACCGGCUAACUCCGUGCCAGCAGCCGCGGUAAUUC
rnacentral:rRNA from 1 species